AUGAUAGCUUGGAUAUACACUGUCUUUCCUAGCCUCAUUCUAAUAACAAGAAUAACUCUUCACUCAUAUGGAAGAUCAGCCUAUGUUGCAACCUUAGAGCAUAGUAAGAAUCUUUUUGCCAUAUCAGUACGUUACCAGUAUGCUGCAGCAGAACAGCGACCAUUACCAUAUGGAUCGGAUACCACUGUCACUCACCCUACAAAUACCCUCAUUCUCCCCCAUCCUGCCUUCCCAUCAUCAAUUCACUACAAACCAUUCCUCUCAUUACAUUCUUCAUUAUCUCAUUCUCACAACACAGUGGUCUCUAUCUUGAGACCUCUGAGUUUGUUGCUGUACUUUGCUCUUUCAAGCUAA